rnacentral:rRNA from 1 species
UACGUAGGGUGCAAGCGUUAAUCGGAAUUACUGGGCGUAAAGCGUGCGCAGGCGGUUUUGUAAGUCUGUCGUGAAAGCCCCCGGGCUCAACCUGGGAAUGGCGAUGGAAACUGGCGAGCUGAGAGUACGGUAGAGGAGAGUGGAAUUCCCGGUGUAGCAGUGAAAUGCGUAGAGAUCGGGAGGAACAUCAGUUGCGAAGGCGGCUCUCUGGACCAGUACUGACGCUGAGGCACGAAAGCGUGGGGAGCAAACAGG